rnacentral:rRNA from 1 species
UACAGAGGGGGCAAGCGUUGUUCGGAAUUACUGGGCGUAAAGGGCGCGUAGGCGGCCUUCUAAGUCGAACGUGAAAUCCCCGGGCUCAACCCGGGAACUGCGUCCGAAACUGGCAGGCUUGAAUCCGGGAGAGGGAUGUGGAAUUCCUGGGUGUAGCGGUGAAAUGCGGUAGAGAUCGGGAGGAACACCCGUGGCGAAGGCGGCCAUCUGGACCAGCACUGACGGCUGAGGCACGAAAGCGAUGGGGGAG